AGCGAACGUUAGCGGCGCGCCUAACACAUGCAAGUCGCACGAGAAAGGGAGCAAUCCCCGGUACAGUGGCGCACGGGUGAGUAACACGUAGAUGACCUUCCCUGGAGUGGUGGAUAACCUGCCGAAAGGCGGGCUAAUACAGCAUGGGACCACAUGGUUUUGACCGAGUGGUGAAAGCGGGCCUCUGUUCACAAGCUCGCGCUCUGGGAUGGGUCUGCGUCCCAUCAGCUAGUUGGUGAGGUAAUGGCUCACCAAGGCAUCGACGGGUAGCUGGUCUGAGAGGAUGACCAGCCACACUAGAACUGAGACACGGUCCAGACUCCUACGGGAGGCAGCGGUGGGGAAUCUUGCGCAAUGGGCGAAAGCCUGACGCAGCGACGCCGCGUGGGUGAUGAAGGCCUUCGGUUGUAAGACC
rnacentral:rRNA from 1 species